AAAUGGCGCUUGCAAAGAAGAGGUUAUUUCAAUGCGUAACCGAAAAAGGAGAUUCUGAAACAGAAAUGGCCAGUUCUGAAGAAGAUUAUUCUUCCAGUGGAAGGAGUAACUGUCCUUUUGAUGAAUAUUCAUCUGAAAAUGACAUAGAUGCUGACUAAUGUGAAAGGUCUCCCAAAGUAUCACCUGCUAAAGAAUCUGAAGGCAGAAAAAAAGAAAUAUUUACAAUUGGAAAAGGGAAAAAUCUAAAUGUCAUAGAAAUUCUGGCAGAGAGUGCAUAUCUGAUAAAAUAGGACAAACCGUUGGCGCUAAAAUUCGUGGUGCAGGAUAUAGAAAGCAAAAAGAAGUGUAAGAGCAUAAUUGAAGAAUGUGUAGAGCACAUAUUCCAUUUUUUGGGACAUGGAUAAUUUCAGUUACCAAAAUAAUUACCUUCUGAGCAACAUAAAGAUGAAACAAUGCAAAGAUACCCAAAGAAAAGGUAAAGCACAGUUUCGUGGCAAAUGGUUACUUCUUUGCACCAGAUUAAGGUUAAUGGCUGUAAUACUUUGGUAUCCAGAGAAGAACUUUUAAGUGUGCUUGGGCCUCAGUACAAUCAAGGACAUCUUAAUAACUUACAAAAAGACUUGUGUGAUGUACACUCCAUGUCUCCAAAAGGCA